AAAAAGAACACCAGAGAGCAAGAUCCGUGGCUUGGUUGCUCCUGCCUUUAGUCCAAGCACAGAGAGGCAGAGACAGGCAGAACUCUUAGCAUAAGACUAGCCUAGUCUACAUAUUAAAUUCCAGACUGAGCAAGAGUGACCUGUCAAUCUUAAUGGGUUUCACAGUGGCUAGAACAAGCAGUAAGAAAGCCAUAAAGGGGCCUGGCUUCAAUAUUUGCUGAGUGACAUGGCUAAUGUUCAUUUCAUCAAAUGUGUUUUAAAUCACUUACAUCCUAGCUCUGGGGAGGCAGAAGCAGGUGGAUCUCUGAGUCUUAGGCCAGCAUGGUCUACCCAGUGGGUUCCAGGACAGUUAGGGCUAUUACACAAGAGAAAUCAUGUCUGGAAAAACCAAAAUAAAUAAUUUUUAAAAACCACCCUUACUGCUAUAUAAAGAAUUGUCAAGAAGUGUGUACUGGAGAUGAGAGGCUAAAGUAAAACCAAAAGCCAAGAGACCAAGGAAUGGACUGUUGAAAUCAACCAGCCUAGAGUACUAUAGCUCAAACCAGGAAUACGUGGUGAAGUGAGUUGGACUCACUGUACAUUGUAACUGUAGAGCAGUGACAAUGGUAACCAGGGUCAGAUUCAUUUUACACAGUAAUAGAGGAACCAAAAGAUUUCCUAGCCAGCUGUGUGUCAGCUGAGAAGAGUAAAAGUUGACCUAAGAAUUAAGUAAACUAUUUAGCACUAUGAUAAAAAAUAUUCUGUCUAGAGAGGAUUAUGAUCCUUGUAGCUACUUGUAACUCCAAAUAUAAACCAAUGUCAUAUCACUAUCUUACCUCCAAGCCAAACCUAUUGAAAUUUGCAUUUUAAUCAAAUGUUGAGAAUUUUGGAAAGUUUUGACAAAUUGAUUGAGCACAACUUGACCAAUGUCUUUGAGAGCAGACAUUAAGCGCUCCAGUAGACAGCUUCUCCACAGACCUAAAAGAUCAGAAGCCUCUGGCAUAGAACCCUACUACAGUCUGUUGUAACAUGCUCUGUGGAUAAUUCUGAUGGAUGCCAAAGUGUGAGAACCAGGGCCAGCAAGAUGUCUCCAUAGGCAGAGGAGUGGCCUCCAUCUGAUUUUUGUUUUAUGGGUUAGGUAUAUGAAUGGAAUGCAUGUCUGUAUAGGUGAUGUGUGGCCAAGCGUGUAGAGGCCAGAGCAAGACCAUUGUCUUCUUUAUUCUGUGCCUUCUCACCUGUGACAGCAUCUCUCUCUGUAAGGGAAACUCACUAUUUUGACUAGAUUGGUGGCCAGAGAACUCUGGAUCCUCCUGACUUUUACCGCAAUGUUGGGGUCACAGACACAACCAUGCUCGACUUUUUACAUGGGUCCUCAUACUUACAGAAUAAAUGUUAAUACUCAUUAAGCUAUCUCUCAGAUCCAUUUGUUUUCAUAAAGAUGUAUUGAAAUAUAUCUGCCUCCAUGUAUUUUCUAUGGUGACUUUUAUGCCACAGCAAAUCCGAGUUAAGUCACUGUGACACAGAGUAUACAACAUCUAAAAUGCAAGCCAGUAAGAUGGUUCAGUAAGAAAAAGCACUUGCACCAAACUUGACAACCCAAGUUUGACCUCCAAGAACCACAUGUAGAAAGCGAAAAUGGACUCCAAGUUGAUGUCUGACCUUAAAUAUGCUUUUGGUGGAAUGUGCAUGCCCACAAAUGCACACCCAGCAAAAGUCACACAUCUAAAACAUAUCUGUAACAGAAGUAUUCAUAUCCCUGCCUGAAACAGGUUUUGCUUAUCACAGUGCUCAGUAGACCAGAAUGCCAGAGAAGCUGUUGAUUACUAUGCUGUAAGACUGUUAGACGUAUCUACAGGCACAUGCCUUUAAUCCUAGCACUUGGAAGGCAGAGGCAUCCUGAUCUCUGAGUGAGACCAGCCUGGUCUACUGAACUAGUUCCAGGACAUCCAGGACUACACAGAGAAACCUGUUUCCAAAAAUGAAAAAAGUCAAUCAGGUGUUUCUGGUAGUGGGAAAGGGGGGCUGUUAAGACAGGAUCUUACUAUGUAGCUCAGGCCAUUUUGAACUCACUAUACUCCUGCCAAAGCCUGAGUGACAGGAUUACAGACACACAUCUCCAUGGCUGGCUCUAGAAGUUAGUCAAACAACAUAGGCCAGAGUUACAUGACACUGAACAACAGGAUCAAGACACAAUAUUCUGUCGGCACCUAGUUGGGAAACUGAAAUACUUGCACAUGUAGCUGUUGUGGUUUCACUUUCCAUACUCUUAUCAUCUCAAUCCCUUUUCUUUCUGCUCUGAUAAUCUGGAACAGUAUCAGCAAGUCCAGGAAGACCAAUACAUUUAAGGGAAAGCUGUAUCUUUAGGCUGACUUCCUGCCUAGCCCGAUGCAGUGAUCUCUGUAAACCAAAUGUGUCUGUUUCCUGUUUGAAAGAAGGGAAAUGUUUAUGCAAAACCUUAAAUCACUGCUGUUUUUUUUUCUUUUUUUUUUUUUAUUAACUUGAGUAUUUCUUAUAUACAUUUCGAGUGUUAUUCCCUUUCCCGGUUUCUGGGCAAACAUCCCCCUAAUUCCUCCCCCUCCCCUUCUUUAUGGCUGUUCCCCUCCCCAUCCUCCCCCCAUUGCCGCCCUCCCCCCAACAAUCUAGUUCACUGGGGGUUCAGUCUUAGCAGGACCCAGGGCUUCCCCUUCCACUGGUGCUCUUACUAGGAUAUUCAUUGCUACCUAUGAGGUCAGAGUCCAGGGUCAAUCCAUGUAUAGUCCUUAGGUAGUGGCUUAGUCCCUGGAAGCUCUGGUUGCUUGACAUUGUUGUUCAUAUGGGGUCUCGAGCCCCUUCAAGCUCUUCCAGUUCUUUCUCUGACUCCUUCAACGGGGGUCCUAUUCUCAGUUCUGUAGAUCGCUCCUGAGAGACACAGCCAGAAUACAGCAAAUCACUGCUGUUUUUAACCUUUUGGUUCCUCCAUUAGAAUCAUUGUAUUGGUGAAAAGAAGUAUAAAGAGUAUUCUAAGCAAACCCAAGGGAGAGUGCAAAGCAGAGGAAAACAUUGGCCAAGUGUCCUUAAACCUUAGUACUAUGCACAAUAGUACAUUUUAACAACCCAGAUUUCCCAAGCUGAUACUCAUUUUAAUACCUGAGACCACAGUAUUUUGUUGUUUCCAUAGUGAUACUAAGUAACAGAAGUACUUAAAUAGUAGACUAGCCUUAAAUUCAUUUGUAGCCCAGGUUGGCUGUAAACUCAGCAAUCCUCCUGCAUCAGGCUCCCAAGUUCUGGGUGAUAGCAAGUUCAUGUGUACCAAAAAGAUUUUUCAUCAAGUACAUCUUUGCUUCAGCUUGACACAGAAACCUGGUGAAAGUAUGAACAUCACACAAACACGGCUCUUAAAAUCUCUAAAUUAUUUUCAUUUUAAUAUAAAUCAAAGUAUUUCAAGUAUACUUUUCUAAUUACCCCCCCUCCUGUGAAUUCAGCUAAUUAUAGUUCAUUUAACCUAAGCUUUGCCUUUUCACCUCUUUUCAGAAGCAGUAUCAGGCCUGCCAAUUUUUUUUUGUCAAUAUUAUUUCCUCUGUAUUUGUACAUCAAUUUGACACUGAUUACCAUAUUUGAUCCAUCUCUUUGCUGACUUAUUGGCCUAAAUAGUAAUUUAUAUUCUCUUAUGUACACAUUUUCUUGCAAUAUUAUGCCUAAAUAUAGAACAAACAUACUUUGUAGGGAAAUAUAGUAUGUUCAGAAUGGGAUUUGUUAUUUUUAAACUUUCCCAGAUACUGUUGUUUUUGUUUGCCUGUUUGUUUUUGAGACAGGGUCUCAAGUAGCCCAGACUGGCCUCAAACUCGAUAUGUAGCCAAGGAUGACCUUGAAGGGUUUUUGGCAUAUUUUUAUAUGGAUGGAUGCAUGUCUGAGUAUAGGUAUAUGCAUGUGAGUGUACAUACCAUGGAGGUCAGAAAGGGGCUAGAGCUGGAGUUACAGGUAUUUUAGAGCAGCCCAGUAUGAAUCUAGAACCUGGAUCUAGAAACCGAAUCCUCUGGAAGAGCACAGUGCUCUCUUAGACACUCAGCCUUCUCUCCAGCCCUGACCUGAACUUUUGAUCCUCCACCUCUCAAGUGCCGGAGUUACAGGCUUGUGCCAGCAAUCCUGGUUUAUAUCGUGCUGAGGGUUUCCAGCUGCAUCCCAAACACUUAUUUUAUUCUUUAAUGUUGUGUUUGAAAUUAAAUCUCAGUUUUCUCUCACAUUACACAGUUCUUCACAGACAAAGGUAUGUGGGGAUGGCACCAACUCAGCAUCAUCCAAGUCUGGAUUCUGCAGGACCCUUGGAGGAUCAGCAUUCAUUCUCCAAGUGUGCUCCACUCAAAACUACCUGUAUAUACCUUGGCCAUGGGUCUGCUUGCAGGUUUGACAGCAUAAGACAUUGAACAGACCACCUGGGCUUCCGUUCAUACCCUUGUUUAUUUCUGUCAGGCUGGCUCACUCUGAUACAUAAUCAUGCACUCACCUCACCAUGAGUCACUCACUCUCCAGCCAUUCCUCACUCCCCUCAGCUUCUCCCUUUAACUUAAAAAUGUGAAGGCUAAUGGCCAAGAAUAUGGAGGUGGAUCAGGUAAUCUUUGAAACCAUACUUUCUGCCAUAGUUGAAGAAAGGAAAAGGUAGUCAGCAACCCAGAAAGAUUGUAAGACACCCCACAUCUUUCCAGACACACCACCUCCCUGGGGAAUGGUCUGAAUGCCCCAGCUAACUGAAGGCUGCCAUCAGCUGUAUAGCUUUCUGGCAUAUGAGAAAAGCUGCCUGGAACUCUACAAAUAUAGUUGCAAAAUGCUCAUGGGAAUAAUCUUUUAACCAGUGUUCCAGUGAGGACACUGUGCUGCUCAUUUUGAAAGAAAUGAAUAGUGAAAAAAGGACUCACUCUUUGCCCCCAUGAAGGCAACCAGCCAGUGACUAUGAACCUUAAGUUAGUGACAUCUGGACCUUGACAUGAAAUAUACCCACUGUGCCCCAAGUAGCAGUGCCCUAAUAUCCAACAUGUCAACUGCAGAACACAUUAACUGUUCCCACAUAGCUGAUGCUGUGCUCAGUUCACCUGUGGCUCUCUCCUUCACAGGCUCCAAAUCCAGCUUCUUCAAGAGUCCUACUGUUACCAGCCCUUAGAUUCUCUUUUCAGACUAUCUACAGAAUUGAAAAGGAAACCCAAAGCCUAUGUACAGAUUGGCUGGUGGCUGGACUCAAAGCCACCCCAAGAGGGAAACUGCAAAGGGACAGUUCAAGGUUGACCAUAUUCCAUGCUGCCUAUUUCUGUCAUAGCUAGUACUGAGCAAAAGUGCUUUCUCACCCCAAUACUCUUAGAAGAAAGACCAAGAAGACCAAUUUACCACAUAAUGAAGGGCCAGCAACACCCACCCAAAUAAAGUAAGUAAAGAUAUCUUUUUAAAUGUUGUGGUCCAUUUGAAGGGCAAUAUAUGGGGAGGAGAAGGGAAGGUGUGACCAGGUGUAUCCCACUCUAUCUAAUUUAACCAGAACACCAAACUACACAGAAGUUUCAAAUUCAGCCCACCCAUCUAGUUCAAUUUCAGGAGCUCUGAAACCUUUCAUUUUCUUUUCUCCAUUGGGAGAGACCCAGGGGAGUGUAGUCUGGAGCCUAGAGUUUCUUAGGAACACACAACAUUUAACACACUACAGAUGAGACUUACAACAAGUCUCCUGGCCCCUCAAAGCCGAAGCAGGACCAGCAAACCAGGAGUGGAGGUAGAGGCAGAACCAAGGGUCUCUAGACUAUCCCUGGAGUCGAGCUUGAUAUUCAAGGUAUACAGCACAGGAAUGGUGGGAUGAUCUGGUACUACAGCUCUGGAGGUCCUUCUCACUGGGGUCCUUGAAAGCAAAACAUUUUUUUUUCUCUUUCCAAGAUAGAAGAGGUCCUAGGAUUUCUGUGAAGUGAGAGGAGAGCUGGGAUCUCAACUGCCUGAGCCAUGAUCUCCAAGAUGAUGACUCUGUCUGUCUGGAGCUGCAUGAGGUGCCUUCAGGCAGAUUUUAGCACAUUCUGGAGAUCUGAGCUUCAUUUCUAAUGAAAACUCAAAGGCUUAGUGGGUGGACUCCUGACCCCAGAGUGCUGGGAGAGCCCUCAGGACUGAGUUUGCCUCUCUAGAGGUGUCUAUGGGGACACUCAAGUUUCCUACUCAGCAGCCAAUCAGGAUCAAGUUAAAAAAAAAAAAAGCUAUAUUGCCGUUUCUUAAAAAACACUCUUAGAAACUAUAUUCAAUGAUCAACGUAAUAAAAAAACACUUUGGCCAAAGACACUGAACUCUUCCAUGUACUUGUUUAGGUGAAUUGCAUAGUUUUAACCUCAUGGUUCUACUUUAGAGCUUGUCUACCUUUGCUCCUCGGAGAUAUCUGGAAAUAUAUGGAGGUAUUUUGUUUUUAUGACACAACUUAAAGGAGCAAUGUUAAUUGUACAAAGUAGAUGGAAGUGAAAGAUACUUCUAAAGGCCAUAGUGUGUGUGUGUGUGUGUGUGUGUGUGUGUGUGUGUGUGUGUGUGUAACACUAUCACUGGGGCCAAAAUGACAGUAAUGCCAAGUUUGGGAAUGCCUGUUUCAUUUCAAGAGGAAAAAAAUGUUUAUCAAUAACAUUUUAUAUUAAAAACAUUGAAACGACAUUGGCAAAAGAGAAAACACUUAGAGACUGUCUUGGUGUUAUUUUGCAGAGACACCACAACUAUGGCAACUCUUAUAAAAAGAAAGCAUUUAAUUGGGGCUGGCUUACAGUUUCAAAGGUUUGGUACAUUAUCAACCUGUUGGGGAACAUGGCAGCAUGUAGGCAGACAUGACGGCUGAAGCGGUAACUGAGUUCUAUAUCCUUAUUCACAAAGAAACAGGAAGAGAGAGAGUCUCUGGGCAUUGGGACACUAGUCGUGGUUCUCUAGAAUAACAACUUACAGAAAGAAUCUCUCUAUAUAAAGGAGACUUACUGGAAUGACUUACAGGCUACAGUCUAGCUAAUUCAACAAUGACUGGCUGUUAACAGGAAAUCCAAGAGUCUAGGAGUUGCUUAGUCCGCAAGGCUGGAUGUCUCAGCUGGUCUUCAGUAGAUAUUGAAAUCCCAAAGAGGUAGGCUCUAAAGCCAAUGAAGAAUGCAUCUGCUAGCAAGGUGAGGAGGGCAAGCAGGCAAAGAACAAAAGCUUCCUUCUUCCAUGUCCUUAUUUAGACUUCCAGCAGAAGGUGUGGCCCAGAUGAAACCUGUGUGUUCCCACCUCAAGAUCCAGAUCAAAGAUGUGCAUCUUCCUGCCUCAAAGGUCCAGACUAAAAGUGGCUUUACCCAUUUCAAACCAAGCCCCUCCCAAAAAAAAAUUCACUGGUGUGCCCCCUACUUUUGGAUUAUAAUUCACUCCAAAUGUAGUCAAAUUAACAAGAAUAGCCAUCACAGUUGGUAUGGGCUUUUGAAACCUUAAAACCCAAUCCCAGUGACACACUUUCUCCAAAGAGGCCUUACCUCUUGAUUCUUUCAAAUAGAGCCAUUCCUUGGUGAUUUAAGUAUUCAAAUCCAUGAGCCUAUGAGGUCCAUUUUUAUUCAAAUCAACACAGAGGCAAAGUGUAAGCAAACAUAAAACUAAGUUAUAGAUAAUUACCACUUAUUUUGGAGGGUGAUGUGCAACUAUAGUCUUUUUCAGACAAAGAUGAUGUGAGUUACACAAACAGCCCUCUGUGAAUAAUAAUUUAGAAAAGAAUAUCCUUCCAGGUAAUUACUCCAAAAAUGUUACAAGGACUAAAACUAGGUGUCCCAAACUUAUACUGUGAACAAGUAGAAGUAUAAAAAUAGAUGUUCAAAAUAUUCCUACAGCUAGCCAGGAUGUCCAGUAUUUCAAGACUGACUUUCACACCUAACAAUACAACUUUCCUUGAGUUACUGUUUACCCCUCAGAUGUUAAUAAAUUUUAAAAUUACAUUAGCAGGGAACAGGGUGGACAUGUGUGGCAAUUAGAGAAAAAACCUGCAAGAAUUGGUAUUCCCCCUACUAUGUGGGUCCUAGGAUUCAAACUGAAGUAAUCAGGCUUGGCAGGAAGUGCCUUUGCUCACUGAGCUAUCUCACUUGCCCAUUCCUUUUUCUUUUUUAACAUUGAUAGUUAGGGAUUGGUUCUAAUGCUUUGAAUUAAUGAUUCUAAUGAUUUGAAUUAAUUCGGCUCUCAAAUUUGGAAUCUGCAUGUCCAAACCUUGAAGGUCCUUAUUCCCAAUAGGCUUUUGAUCAAUCAAUAAAGAGCCAACAGCCAAUGGCUGGGCAGGUAGAUUAAGGCGGGACCUUUGGAUUUGCAAGGUCUAGAAUUGGAAGAGAGAAAGGCAGAGAUGCCAUGAUGGGGAAGAACCCAAAGGCCUGCUGCGGCAUGUAAGAAUCUCGGUGGCCACACAGGCCACUUCCCCAAUUGUGUUUAGGGUAGCAGAGAUGAAAUACAGAUUUUAAAAGAUGUUAACUCAGGAGUAAUAGAGGGGAUUAUUUGCUAACAGCAAGAAGGAUUAGAACUGCCAAGUCUGAGCUAGUCAAGACAUAUUCAGAUUAACUCUCCUGCUCCUGUGUGCCUGUGUGUGUGUCUUUCAUUAUCUUGUGCAGAUGCGCUGGUAGAACUGGUUGGGAGCACAAAGUGGUUAAUUACUGCUCCAAGAAUGCAAUUUGAAAGUUUCUUGUAGGGUUUUCAGUGGAUGUAGAAUUGCAAAUGAAAAAGGGAUGUGAGCCCCACUCCACAGAUCUCAUCCUAGAGAGAGGGGUUCCCAAAAUGAGAAAGGACUGGAGACUUCUAAAUCAUCUGGUAUUAUUAAAAUUAAGACUCCAGGGUUCCAUCCAAGACAUUGUAUCUGUUUCCCCAAAUUUAGCACUUGAGAGCAAUGCAUUUAAAAAAGUCAGGGUGGAUGUGGUGACUCACACCUUUGAUCCUACCACUUGGGAAACAGAGGCAGUCAGAUCUCUGUAAGUCUGACCAAAAGAGGGAGUGCCAAGACAGCCAGGACUACACAGAGAGACCAUGUCUCCAAAAACAAAUAAUACAUAAAAAUUAAAUAUCCCUUUUGCACACCUAAAUUUGCGAAUCUCUGUUAACUAGAAGAGACUGGAUGUGUUAUGCAUUUCUACAAAACAAAAUGCCCAAAAUAUUCAGUUUUUCUUCCCAUACUAUCAACUUCUCUCUCUUCCCAGGGAGUGAUAUUAAGUAAAGAACAUUGACAAUCACCACACAGGUGGAAAAUGUCUGCAAACUCUAGUGACUGAUUCUGGAAAGAAGCAAACAUUCUAAGAUGGGAGAGAAACCGUCGAGAGAAACAUGUUGGGAGAAGAAUGCAUACAAUGGAGUCAGUACUGUUGGGCCCCUAGAUCAUCAAAGAUCACUUGUUUUCACUGAGUGGAUGUUCCCCUGGGCUUGUUGGUCACAUCUGGCCAAAGCAAAUCACACUGCAAAGAGUGAGGUCUACAGACGACAGAGGAAUAGGUUUAAUCUUGAUUUUACUGACAGUCACAGGAAGUGAAGAAGAAUCUGUUCAAGUUUUCCAGCUCAGUUUAUUAAGACAAUCUGAACCUUUGGAAUCUGAAAUUAUCACACAAGGGAGACAAGUUGAAGGCUCAAAGUCAUCUGAUUGGAGCACCGAGAGGAAUGUGACCUCGUUUUCAACCCCAGGAGAGUGAAACAGGAUAUAUUGGUCUAAUCAGAACUGCAUUUUCUAAAGUUCAUUCUGGUUGCUUUGCAGAAAAUAGAUCUGAGAGAAGCAAAUGUGAAUGUACGAAAAUGAGAGGUUGCUGCUGUUGUAAAAGUGACUGUGGCUUACACCAAAGACUUCCAGGAGAUAUGGAGAGAUUCCAAUGGGGAGAAAGACAUAUAUAUUAUAUUUUAUAUACAGUUUGUCUGUGAUGGUUUGAAUAGGAAUGGUCCCCCAUAGGCUCAUGUGUUUGAAUGCUUGGCCCAUAGGGAGUGGCACAAUUAGAAGGUGUGGCCUUGUUGGAGGAAGAGUGUAACUGUGGAGGUGGGGCUUUGAGGUCUUAAAUGUUCAAGCUACACCCAAUGUGAAACAAAUACAGUCUUCUCCUGGCUACCUUCAGAUCAAGGUGUAGAAAUCUUGGCUCCUCCAGCACCAUGUCUGCCUGCACCCUGCUAUGUUUCCCACCACAAUGAUAAUAGACUAAAUCUAUGGAACUGUAACCCAGCCCCAAUUAAAUGUUUUUCUUUGGCUUUAAAUGUUUAAA